rnacentral:sRNA from 1 species
UGGACUACAUUUAUCUUUUGUGCCUUA